CCUACGGGCGGCAGCAGUGAGGAAUAUUGGUCAAUGGACGAGAGUCUGAACCAGCCAAGUAGCGUGAAUGAUGACUGCCCUAUGGGUUGUAAACUUCUUUUAUAUGGGAAUAAAAUGUUCCACGUGUGUGAUUUUGUAUGUACCAUUUGAAUAAGGAUCGGCUAACUCCGUGCCAGCAGCCGCGGUAAUACGGAGGAUCCGAGCGUUAUCCGGAUUUAUUGGGUUUAAAGGGAGCGUAGGUGGAUUGUUAAGUCAGUUGUGAAAGUUUGCGGCUCAACCGUAAAAUUGCAGUUGAAACUGGAAGUCUUGAGUACAGUAGAGGUGGGCGGAAUUCGUGGUGUAGCGGUGAAAUGCUUAGAUAUCACGAAGAACUCCGAUUGCGAAGGCAGCUCACUGGACUGCAACUGACACUGAGGCUCGAAAGUGUGGGUAUCAAACAGGAUUAGAUACCCGGGUAGUC
rnacentral:rRNA from 1 species